UGGGGAAUAUUGGACAACGGGCGCAAGCCUGAUCCAGCCAUACCGCGUGGGUGAAGAAGGCCUUCGGGUUGUAAAGCCCUCUUGUUGGGAAAGAAAAGCAGCCGGUUAAUACCCGGUUGUUCUGACGGUACCCAAAGAAUAAGCACCGGCUAACUUCGUGCCAGCAGCCGCGGUAAUACGAAGGGUGCAAGCGUUACUCGGAAUUACUGGGCGUAAAGCGUGCGUAGGUGGUUGUUUAAGUCUGUCGUGAAAGCCCUGGGCUCAACCUGAGAAUUGCGAUGGAAACUGGGCGACUAGAAUGUGGCAGAGGGUAGUGGAAUUCCUGGUGUAGCAGUGAAAUGCGUAGAGAUCAGGAGGAACAUCCGUGGCGAAGGCGACUGCCUGGGCCAACACUGACACUGAGGCACGAAAGCGUGGGGAGCAAACAGGAUU
rnacentral:rRNA from 1 species